rnacentral:rRNA from 1 species
AGGGAAUCUUCCACAAUGGACGCAAGUCUGAUGGAGCAACGCCGCGUGAGUGAAGAAGGUUUUCGGACCGUAAAGCUCUGUUGUUGGUGAAGAAGGAUAGAGGUAGUAACUGGCCUUUAUUUGACGGUAAUCAACCAGAAAGUCACGGCUAACUACGUGCCAGCAGCCGCGGUAAUACGUAGGUGGCAAGCGUUGUCCGGAUUUAUUGGGCGUAAAGCGAGCGCAGGCGGAAGAAUAAGUCUGAUGUGAAAGCCCUCGGCUUAACCGAGGAAUUGC